AUAUAUAUAUAUAUUUAUUAUAUAUUAUUAUUGUGGUGCGCGCGCGAAAUAAAUAAGAAGAGAAAAGGAAUAGAGGAGUAUUAUCAUUUGGAAAGAUAUUUAACAGUUAAAUAAAAGUGACCACAAGAAAACUUGGGAUUACGAUGAAUGAAAUAUUUAGAGAAAGAAAGUGAGAGAGUGUUGGAGAGAAAAUUUUAAUUGCGACUA
rnacentral:lncRNA from 1 species